rnacentral:rRNA from 1 species
AGCGAACGCUGGCGGCAGGCUUAACACAUGCAAGUCGAGCGGGCGUAGCAAUACGUCAGCGGCAGACGGGUGAGUAACGCGUGGGAACGUACCUUUUGGUUCGGAACAACCCAGGGAAACUUGGGCUAAUACCGGAUAAGCCCUUACGGGGAAAGAUUUAUCGCCGAAAGAUCGGCCCGCGUCUGAUUAGCUAGUUGGUGAGGUAACGGCUCACCAAGGCGACGAUCAGUAGCUGGUCGAGAGGAUGAUCAGCCACAUUGGGACUGAGACACGGCCCAAACUCCUACGGGAGGCAGCAGUGGGGAAUAUUGGACAAUGGGCGCAAGCCUGAUCCAGCCAUGCCGCGUGAGUGAUGAAGGCCCUAGGGUUGUAAAGCUCUUUUGUGCGGGAAGAUAAUGACGGUACCGCAAGAAUAAGCCCCGGCUAACUUCGUGCCAGCAGCCGCGGU